rnacentral:rRNA from 1 species
GUCGAGGGGUAACGGGGAAGCUUGCUCCCGCCGACGACCGGCGCACGGGUGCGUAACGCGUAUACAAUCUACCUUGUACUGGGGUAUAGCCUUUAGAAAUGAAGAUUAAUCCCCCAUAGUCUCUUAGAGUGGCAUCACUUCUAGAGUAAAGGUUACGGUAUAAGAUGAGUAUGCGUUCUAUUAGUUUGUUGGUGUGGUAACGGCACACCAAGACUACGAUAGAUAGGGGCCCUGAGAGGGGGAUCCCCCACACUGGUACUGAGACACGGACCAGACUCCUACGGGAGGCAGCAGUGAGGAAUAUUGGACAAUGGAGGCAACUCUGAUCCAGCCAUGCCGCGUGCAGGAAGACUGCCCUAUGGGUUGUAAACUGCUUUUAUACAGGAAGAAACACCUCUACGUGUAGAGGCUUGACGGUACUGUAAGAAUAAGGAUCGGCUAACUCCGUGCCAGCAGCCGCGGUAAUACGGAGGAUCCAAGCGUUAUCCGGAAUCAUUGGGUUUAAAGGGUCCGUAGGUGGAUAACUAAGUCAGAGGUGAAAUCUUGCAGCUCAACUGUAAAAUUGCCUUUGAAACUGGUUAUCUUGAGUUAUUAUGAAGUAGUUAGAAUAUGUAGUGUAGCGGUGAAAUGCAUAGAUAUUACAUAGAAUACCAAUUGCGAAGGCAGAUUACUAAUAAUUAACUGACACUGGUGGACGAAAGCGUGGGUAGCGAACAGGAUUAGAUACCCUGGUAGUCCACGCCGUAAACGAUGGUUACUAGCUGUUUGGACUUCGGUCUGAGUGGCUAAGCGAAAGUGAUAAGUAACCCACCUGGGGAGUACGUUCGCAAGAAUGAAACUCAA